rfam:Glossina brevipalpis unplaced genomic scaffold Scaffold254, whole genome shotgun sequence.
GGGGGAAGUGUUUAGUACGUAGGCGCCAUGGUUGGCGAAGCGUGCAUGCUGCUGGUGCGGGAUAGUAGUAUCUAUGAAGAUUCCCACCUCC